rnacentral:tRNA from 1 species
GGAAGUGCACGGGCGCCUGGUGGGCCCCCUGGUCUUCAAAACCAGUGUGCUGGCCAAAAGCUGGCGGGUGGGUUCGAUUCCCAUGCACUUCCG